AGUCCAGGCGGGAGCCGGAAGCCCAGCGCGGAGCCGGCCGCGGCCCCCUGUUGUGUUGCUGCGGAGAGGUACUUGGAUGCAUUUUACAGCUGAGUGGUGUAGUUGAAUUGGUUCCUGUAGCCGCUGUCCCUAAACCCAGGCCGACGUUACCGCCUUGUGUCCUGACUGCUAGCUUUCGACGGGACCGUCUUUGAGGGACUCAUGUAAAGUCUCUCCCUUAAUGCUCAGUUCUUAGAAGACCGAGGCGCAGUCAUGCAGGAAAACCUCAGAUUUGCUUCAUCAGGAGAUGAUAUUAAAAUAUGGGAUGCUUCAUCUAUGACAUUGGUGGAUAAAUUCAACCCACACACAUCACCACAUGGAAUCAGCUCAAUAUGUUGGAGCAGCAAUAAUAACUUUUUAGUAACAGCAUCUUCCAGUGGCGACAAAAUAGUUGUCUCAAGUUGCAAAUGUAAACCUGUUCCACUUUUAGAGCUUGCUGAAGGGCAAAAGCAGACAUGUGUCAAUUUAAAUUCUACAUCUAUGUAUUUGGUAAGCGGAGGCCUAAAUAACACUGU
rnacentral:lncRNA from 1 species